CAUUGCCCUGUAAUAUGAGCUUUGUUUGUACGUAUGUCCUAAAUGUCAAUUGUGUGGGAUAUUUGAAAAUAAAUUUAGUCUUUUUGAAACAUUUUAGAUAACAGAUAUGUUGCUAGGAGAGGUAUUUCUUACAUUUCACACGCCACCUCCAUAUCAACUAGAUUCCAAUUACUACUGCAACAUCACAAAAGUAAAUGAGACAGAGUACCAGCGGGUUUGCACUGGAGAAACUGACAUGUGCAAUCAAUAUAACAAGUCACUAAACUUGCUGUCAGGACCAAAGGCAUCCAUAUUCACAUAUGAGUAUAAGAACGCUAUCAUCACCUGAAGCUUACUGGUCUACUUUUCCAAUGAAAUACAUUUGGAGAAUACAGUGUACUAAUUAUACCUUAGGUUCAAAGUAUUGUCCAGUGAGUGAUGCGAAACUAAGUAAGACAUUUUUGCUGAGAAAAUUUCCGUCUAACAUUGUGUACAUAUCUUUAACCAUAUGUUUCUCUGAAAUGUAUCUUUGGCAAAUUAUCUUGCACAUACGUCCCUUAACAGCUUUGGAAUCUUCCACUCGAUGCUAUUGUUUUGAUGAUCUGUGCUUUAAGGAAAUCUACCAUAACCGUUGAUCCUUUAACUUACGCUCUGCGAUUGGUGUUAAUAUUUAAACUGAAAUUCAAUAAUACCUAUAAAUCACUUUAGAUAUUUUCUAAAAUUACUUUGGUGAAGUUGGUUUAACUUGUGAAAAUAUUACUACCUAGGUGUUUAUCUGCAAGAUGAAUUGCAAGUUGCCUCACUGCAUGAAAUUGCCGAAGACUUAUAUGAUGCCACAUUUAUUACAUUUGGAGAUGAAAAGGGACUGCAAUGGAAUGUUUUCAAGUUGAGCGGUACUCCUUGUUACCAUCCUAUGAUGACAUGAUUUAACUUCUAUUUGCUGACGAUGUGUUGGGAAGAGGAUGAUAACAAGAAACCUGUAUCUUGUUACCUUGCCUUGAUUACUCUGUAUAAUGAUAUUCGUAAUAAAGUGUUUUAUUACAUCGUCAAUAUGCAUUUUUGUCUGCCUAUUAUUUUAUUCCACUAUUUAUCCUCAACAUACAAGACUACUCACAAAACAUAUAUACUUUACAUUGCGAGGAAUCAAGUACUCCAAUGUGGAUCUUUUGUCUAAUUCACCUGUUAGAGAUCACAGUACAUAAAUAUUCCAUAAAACCAGAUUAUUCUUUUUUUUAAUUAUAAUCUUUGUUUUUAGAAAUAGAUCAUUUCAUUUACAAUAGAUCUAUUAUGUCUCCCUCGUGUCGACCAGCAUUUGGCGCAAUGCAUACGCGAAGAAACAGUUCUAUCAUAUUUGAUAUAAUUUUACAAUAAAGACAUAUUAUUUUCGAAAUAUUUUAUUGCAAAACUGAGUUUGAACACUAUACACUCGGAUGAUUACACGUCCUUUGAAAUAAUUUCCUUGGCUGUGCCCUUCUGAAAUUUUUAUGACCGACGUAUAACCGCCCAUUGUGUAUAAAUAGUAUUCAAAACUCGGUGUUACUAUAUAUUAUUGCUUAAAUGUAGCAACAAAUAUUCAAUAUGUUAUGACAAAUAUCUUUUAACCGUAUAAAGACGUGCAGUCAUUUAUAAUUAGUCUCCUUGCAGUCCAGUCAAGUAUUAUCUAUGUUUUCACGCUAGGCUUGGUGAUUACAACUCAAAUUUUAGAGUCUCCCAAUGCAUUGCAUAUAAUAGACGGAACAAUACUGUUGCCAAGCAAUAAAAAUACCUGGAAGGGGAUGUUAUCAUAUUUGAUGACUUUCAUAUUGAAAGUUAAUUGAAGAACCAACCUGUAUAUUCUUCUAACGAAUGGGUAGAUAGACUUGCGAACAAACAUAUACUGCUUAAUCCCUGUAACAAUUUAAACGAUUUUACACGAAAAGAAAGCGCGAGACAGAUAAACGAAUAAAACGUAUCAAUGGGAAGAGGAAGACAAACUCUGAGUGAGCGAUAUUAUAUCAAUCACUAUAUAAACAAACUUUUUCAUUUUGGCAAUCAGCAGAUACUCGCCCCACACGGCAUCACAAUUUUUGCGUAGCGUUUUGGGUUCUGCUGACAGUUUUUGUCACAAGUAUUCAGAUUAUUUGAUCAUAGUCAAACGCCAUCGUGGAACAUCUUUUGUGUCAGUUCCUUUCACCUAUGUGACCGUUAAUAGUAACAUCACAAAGAGUUAUUCCAUAUGUAAAUGAAUUGUUCCAGUCUGUAUGUGUUUACAAGGAUUUUAAAAUUAAGUCAGGUAAGCUAUAACUUCUUCAAUAGCAUAUAAAUGCGUGGCUUGAAAACAACAUCAUUUUUCUAUUGAUCAACAAAGUCCUAAUAUGUACCACAAUAACAAUAUUAUCAGUUAGUAACAUCAGUAAGGCUUUUCUUCCUUAUUCAAAUAGCGAUAACGAGUGUUACUUCCCUGAUAACUGGACGAUAAAAGUAAUUUGAGUACCUAAGUAUACAAAUAUGAUUGGUCUUAAAUGUAUGUAGAAGGGACGCAAGAGGAAGUAAAUGUAUAAAAUUGAUAAAGGUUAAGACUCUCCUAAUUCGGAUGUACAACUUAACUACUUAUAAGUCUAACGACCUUAGAUAAAGCAUUUUUAACAGUCGCUUAAUCAUAUCUUUCUAAUUCAAGUGUUACACACUAUAAAUACAACUAAGAAUUAUUUCGAAGUGUAGAAUAAACUUAUUACGACUGUCUUGUGUUAAUAUAAGUUAGAUAAUAUUGGAACUGAUAUCGUUGCCAUUUGUCAAACACGUAACUGACAAUAUGCCUACGAAUAUGUUUCGAAUUUGUGUGUUCUGGAUGUGUAUGAUAAGCAAACAUCAUUUUGAACUGACAGAGGAACCUGUAUGUACAUCAAGAUUUGAUUACGAUUUUAAGAUCGUUGAAAAACUGUUUGAAAUGGACCAGAAAAUCAAAAAGGCCGAGGAAGAAAUACAGAGACAACAUCAGCUAAUUAACAGGCUUUCCACUGGUGGAAGUGGCUCAGUGUAUGUUAGAUGGGGCCGGAACCUAUGUCCAGAACAUGCUACAGCUAUAUACAAUGGUUACAUCGCUGGAAAUAAAUACGAUAAGAGUGGUAGUGGGAGUGAUUCCGUGUGUCUUCCUUCUGAUCCCGUUUGGUCGAACUAUAGUGACGGGGAUGACAGAAACAGAGGAUUUAUUUACGGGACAGAGUUUGACGAGGAGGGUACCAAUAUUUUGGUUACUCGGUUUUCCAACAAGACAUCCCCUGUGCCGUCUGCAGAACCAAAAAGUCAGCACUUGUCAUGAUUCCAGCGAGGGCAAUAUGCUAUCCUGGUUGGAAAGAGGAAUACAGUGGAUAUCUCAUGUCGGCUUAUCAUACUCAUCCCGGGUCUCAUAACCAUAUAUGUGUGGACAGUGAUCCAGAGUUCGUAGCUCGCGGUAGCAAUAAUGAUAAUCAACAUAUCUUAUAUCUCAUGGAAGCUCAAUGCGGUUCACUACCUUGUCCACCUUACGUCCAAGGACGAGAGCUCACCUGUGUUGUCUGUUCUGCCUAACUACUACAUCCUGAACUUCACAUAAUAUACCUAGUACAUAAAAGUCGUUUUUGCUUAAAGCUGCAACAUGUACCAUAAAAAGCAUUUGUUUUGUAACAUAACAAAGUGAAUCCUAACUGAGAAUUAAUGGAACUACAAUAUCACUUCAUCUUGAGGCACCAGAGCUAGGUGUAAACACUACCUACUUGAACAGCCAACUGUAAGAGUCUGGAGCUUUAAUUAUAGCUAUCGUCUAGUUUGACAUUAUAAGUUACUUGUUUCAUGUUAUAUGUAAAAUUGUUUCUAUUAUUAGUAAAGAGAAUGAUAAGCAGCUCCGUACAUUAGGAACACAUUUGAAUAGGCAAAAUGCAUUUCUGAAAAUGUAAAAAAUAGCAUGAAACAUUAGAAUAAUAUUUACCUUUCUUCGGUCAGGCCAUGUACCGAUUGUCAGCGAUUGUCAGCAUAUCAUCACCCUAUAUCUAUAGCAAUCAUUAAACCAGAAUUUGAAGUCCCUAAAUGUUGGCCAAUAUAUUUAUAUUUCGAUUGUAUAAUAUUUAAACUGUUACUUACUGGCUACGAAGGCUUUUAAAA
rnacentral:misc_RNA from 1 species